rnacentral:tRNA from 1 species
GGGUUCAUUGCUGAGUUGGUAGAGCACAAGGCUCUUAACCUUGUGGUUGUGGAUUGAAGCCC